UGUCAUAUGAAACUGUGUUAUUUUUAGGACUAUGAUCCUGAAUCUCAUUAUGGUCCACAUUCAUCUUAUUAUGGGCGCAAUCAAUCAUAUGGUGGGGGUCACUACUAUUAGACCCUAGAACUAUUCGGGUUCUACUCUGCUUUUCGGUGGCUCUGUUUUCUUGUGAUUAACGUUUACAAAUGAAAAGGAUUUGAUUCGAGGCCGGCAUAGUCCCAUCUGUAUCCAGUUUGAUUUCAAAAGAGUUGCAGACUUGCAGAUUUGUGCACUUGUCGAGUUGUCAUGGAGGUUUGGACUUGUGGAGCAAGGCAGCAGGCCGAGCAACUAGAGCCUAAAGGCCUAGAGCAGUGCAGCUUCAGUUAUUUCUUAGUUGGACAGUUUCACUAUUUGUGCAGAACUGCAAAUUGUGUUGAACUGUUUAUGUUUCUGUUGGACAAUGUAUUCUAGAUUUCUGGACUCUUGAGUUUGUGUUGUAAA